rnacentral:rRNA from 1 species
GAUGAACGCUGGCGGCGUGCUUAACACAUGCAAGUCGAACGGUGAACACGGAGCUUGCUCUGUGGGAUCAGUGGCGAACGGGUGAGUAACACGUGAGCAACCUGCCCCUGACUCUGGGAUAAGCGCUGGAAACGGCGUCUAAUACUGGAUACGAGUAGCGACCGCAUGGUCAGUUACUGGAAAGAUUUAUUGGUUGGGGAUGGGCUCGCGGCCUAUCAGCUUGUUGGUGAGGUAAUGGCUCACCAAGGCGUCGACGGGUAGCCGGCCUGAGAGGGUGACCGGCCACACUGGGACUGAGACACGGCCCAGACUCCUACGGGAGGCAGCAGUGGGGAAUAUUGCACAAUGGGCGCAAGCCUGAUGCAGCAACGCCGCGUGAGGGAUGACGGCCUUCGGGUUGUAAACCUCUUUUAGCAGGGAAGAAGCGAAAGUGACGGUACCUGCAGAAAAAGCGCCGGCUAACUACGUGCCAGCAGCCGCGGUAAUACGUAGGGCGCAAGCGUUAUCCGGAAUUAUUGGGCGUAAAGAGCUCGUAGGCGGUUUGUCGCGUCUGCUGUGAAAUCCGGAGGCUCAACCUCCGGCCUGCAGUGGGUACGGGCAGACUAGAGUGCGGUAGGGGAGAUUGGAAUUCCUGGUGUAGCGGUGGAAUGCGCAGAUAUCAGGAGGAACACCGAUGGCGAAGGCAGAUCUCUGGGCCGUAACUGACGCUGAGGAGCGAAAGGGUGGGGAGCAAACAGGCUUAGAUACCCUGGUAGUCCACCCCGUAAACGUUGGGAACUAGUUGUGGGGUCCAUUCCACGGAUUCCGUGACGCAGCUAACGCAUUAAGUUCCCCGCCUGGGGAGUACGGCCGCAAGGC